CCGAGCGCUGCCCGAGGUGGACACGCUUAGGCUGGGAGAGCCCACCAAAAUAAAAGAGGAAAGAGCGGGGAAGCCCCCCCGCGCCCACGGACUUUUGGGUUUUGCGGGCUACUGACCGCCGGGUCUUGGAGCGGUGGGGAGGAUUUGGAAGAUUUUCUUCCUUUUCCUGCAACAAGUUUGAGUGAACUUCCUAUUUAUUCUUCACUUCUUCAUGGCUAUUUUACCCCACCAGAGCAAGGCAGUCCUUAUGCAAGAAGUGAGCACUGUAUCAACUCACUGGAGAACUGAAUAUCACUCUCUCUAGAAUAUUAUGUUCUGCAACUAUUGAGAGAAUUUUGCUUUCCUAUCUAGGAAGAUUAGAAAUGUGCUGUUCUGACCUUUAGCUUGGCAACUCACUUACUUCUAUAACCUCUAAGGUUUUCCUUAUUGUGAAGAACUUCGAGGAGAAACGGCUUGGUUGGAAGUAGAGAAAUCCUACUCCAAUCUAUGAAAGACAAGAGAUAUCUACUCAGCAAAUUUUCUUUUAGCCAGCAGUCUUUUAGAGGACAGUGCAUUUGAGAGGGUUUACAGCCAAAUAAUCCAAAUCCAAGCUACCACGAACCCAUCAGAAGGCUCUCCUAUUAAAACCUAAAGCUUUCAGCCUGCUAAUAGAAUUUGAAGCAUUUUAUUUUUGGCAGAUCUCAGACUGAAAUCUCCAAGAGCAAGCUGUUCAUUAUAAGAUCACUUUGUUAUCCGCAAGGCCAACUCAGAAAACAGUGCACGCUGCAGACCUGUAGAAAGAUAGACCUUUAUGUUGGCAGGAAACUUCAGAGAAGUGUGCUGGUGAGAACUUAUAUCAGUGGGUUUUGGAAGUCGCUUUAUUAUCUAACAGAUGUGUAGGCUGCAACAGCAGAAAUUUUUGCUCCUGUGAGAAAACAGAAUAUUCAGUUGUCAGGUGUAAAUUCAUGGACAUAUUUUUGUGUUUACUGUCCGCUUCUUCAAAUAACUCUACACAAGGACAAAGUGCCAAUAAGUUGCUUUACGAAGAGAACCAGUCUUGCUUCAAAACCUUUUAAUUUAGGCAUGGGCCAAGAGUGAUGGGCUUAUGGUGCUGGAUGGCUACAGUAAACGUCCAGGUGAAUUUGCUGAGUACUACAGAACAUCGCUUCUUCAGCCUCAGAACAUGUCUAAAGAGUGCAGGCAGCAGAAAUCCUUGUGUUCAGAGCCCAGUCAAAUUCCCAUUAGAGUUGGCAAAAAAAAAAAAAAAAAUUAUUAAGGUUUGGAACCAAACAAAGCACAUCCUUAGCAACUGAAACAUGAAUCACAAAUGGCACAGAUGUUUGGUAAGUAAUUUGGUGGUGUGUAUUCUCUUUGAAAUGAUCAACUUGGUCUAGCAGAAGAAGAAUAAAAUGCAGUCAGUCAGAAUUGGGUUCUGGACACCACCCGACAACAGGCAACACACUGAUCUGGGAUGGAGUCAAUGAGAUUGAAACUGCAGUCACUUUACCACAUCUGACCUUCUGGAUGACAACUGCCUGGUGAUUAUGAUAGCUACAUUAUAUCCCAACAUUAUAUUGCACUUGCUGGUGGGAAGACUUCAGGAAAGAAACAGUUUUUGUCUUCAGAAGAGAUAGAGACUGAAAGAUUUGUGAAAUAGUUUUGAAUUUGUCCAUCAGGUAUAAAUGGUCUCUGGCUAUGUUUACUGGUCACUUUUCAAUGCACUCCCUACCUGUUUUAUUAGGUGUAUGCAGUUCAGUACAGAGCUAUUCCUACUUGCAUAUGCUUGGAAAAUGUCAGAUUUUCCUUUUCCCUUUUCUUCUUUCUUAUUUUCUUUUUAAGAUCUAAACACAACUCUUGCAUCUCUUGAUCUCUCUUUCUAAAACUUCAAUAUAUUUAAAACUUCAGCUCUCAAGUGCCAGUCAAAUAAUUUUUAUUCCAUAUGUCCUAUUCAACUUGUGUAAUAUACAGCUUGCAAUAGAUUAGAGUUCCACUUCCUAGACAGUAUUUCCGAUAUCUAAUUUUUGUAGACCCACUAUAAAAUUGAGCAAGGCCAUCUCUUGCUUUGUAGGGAAGUGCUUGGUAGUGCUGAAUAAUCUGUCUGGGAUAUGCAGUUUGAUGACAUUUUUAUUGAUACAUUACAAAUUUAGCCCAAGUUUCAUUUUUUGAAGCAAGCCCAGUUGGUAUUUUCAUUUCCCAUGGAAGCAUUUCAGGCAUAGAUUAUUUCCCAUCUUGCAUGCUUCUGAAGGUAUAGAAAGGAAACAAUACAUUUUAUCUCCUACUUUUGAGCUACUCCAGCUUACAGUUUAUUUCUUAAUGAAGUUGUUUCUUCCUCAGAUUUUGCUGAAGUCCCAGUUGUACGUGUGGGUCAAUUGCAAUUCAUUUUCCCUGUGAGCAUAGGGGAUGCACACUGCAGAAAAUUGAACACUGUUGAAGUACAUACCAACACUCUAUCUUGUUCUACUAAACACAGCAUUUGUGUUGGGCACACCCUUCCUAUUCGAGAGCUUGUUAUUGCUAUUGUUAAUUUGGAAAUGUUUCACUAAAAACAGUUGAAGACUUUUCUCAUGAUCUUAAGUUUGGGACUAAGAGAAGAUGAAGGUCUUCCUCAACCAUCUGCUUUCUAUUUCUGUCUGUUCAAAGAUGAUUGAAUUUGUUCUACUUCUUUGUAUUUAUGGCACAUUUUUUUUUCCAUGCCACAUCUCCACAUGAUCAGCCAAAUCCUCAACUAAUUUUGGUUGGCUUCUUUGACUUCAGUGGAUAUACUGCUAAUUCAAAC
ensembl:lncRNA